rnacentral:sRNA from 1 species
AGAGGUGCCCUCGGUGAUAGAGGAAACAUGGCCGAGUAUACGCGGCUGCACAACGCCUUGGCGCUGAUCCGCCUCCGAAACCCGCCGGUCAACGCGAUCAGUACGACUUUACUCCGUGACAUAAAAGAAGGACUACAGAAAGCUGUAAUAGACCAUACAAUAAAAGCCAUUGUGAUUUGUGGAGCAGAGGGCAAAUUUUCUGCAGGUGCUGAUAUUCGUGGCUUCAGUGCUCCUAGGACAUUUGGCCUUACACUGGGACAUGUAGUAGAUGAAAUACAGAGAAAUGAGAAGCCCGUGGUGGCAGCAAUCCAAGGCAUGGCUUUCGGAGGGGGACUAGAGCUGGCCCUGGGCUGUCACUAUAGGAUUGCCCACGCAGAGGCUCAAGUUGGCUUACCAGAAGUUACACUGGGACUUCUCCCUGGUGCAAGAGGAACCCAGCUUCUCCCCAGACUCACUGGAGUUCCUGCUUCACUUGACUUAAUUACCUCAGCUUUCAAAGUGAGAUGACUCUCAGAUUCAUUGAAGACGUAUUUUAGCAGAUGAAGCACUCAAGCUGGGCAUUCUAGAU